rnacentral:rRNA from 1 species
CGAACGGAUCCUUCGGGAUUAGUGGCGGACGGGUGAGUAACACGUGGGAACGUGCCCUUUGGUUCGGAACAACUCAGGGAAACUUGAGCUAAUACCGGAUGUGCCCUUCGGGGGAAAGAUUUAUCGCCAUUGGAGCGGCCCGCGUCUGAUUAGCUAGUUGGUGGGGUAAAGGCCCACCAAGGCGACGAUCAGUAGCUGGUCUGAGAGGAUGAUCAGCCACAUUGGGACUGAGACACGGCCCAA